rnacentral:rRNA from 1 species
AUUGAACGCUGGCGGCAGGCCUAACACAUGCAAGUCGAACGAAUGGCGGACGGGUGAGUAAUGUCUGGGAAACUGCCCGAUGGAGGGGGAUAACUACUGGAAACGGUAUCUAAUACCGCAUACCAUCGGAUGUGCCCAGAUGGGAUUAGCUUGUAGGUGAGGUAACGGCCCACCUAGGAGACGAUCCCUAGCUGGUCUGAGAGGAUGACCAGCAAAACUGGAACUGAGACACUGUCCAGACGCCUACGGGAGGCAGCAGUGGGGAAUAUGGCACAAUGGGCGCAAGCCUGAUGCAGCCAUGCCGCGUGUAUGAAGAAGGCCUUCGGGUUGUAAAGUACUUUCAGCGGGGAGGCGUUACCCGCAGAAGAAGCACCGACUAACUCCGUGCCAGCAGCCGCGGUAAUAC